rnacentral:misc_RNA from 1 species
GAUGAAGAACGCAGCGAAAUGCGAUAAGUAAUGCGAAUUGCAGAAUUCCAGUGAGUCAUCGAAUCUUUGAACGCACAUUGCGCCCUUUGGUAUUCCGAAGGGCAUGCCUGUUCGAGCGUCAUUAUCACCCCUCAAGCCCUCGGCUUGGUGUUGGAAGGUUUGGUGGAGGCCCCCUCGGGGGCUCCUGCCCCUCCCAAAGACAAUGACGGCGGCCUCGUUGGACCCCCGGUACACUGAGUUCUUCACGGGACACGUAUCGGACACAUGGGUUUACGGGACACGGUCUGCCUCCCCUCAGGGAGAAUCUUUCUAAGGUUGACCUCGGAUCAGGUAGGGAUACCCGCUGAGCUUAAGCAUAUCAAUAAGCGGAGGA